CCUACGGGAGGCAGCAGUGAGGAAUAUUGGUCAAUGGACGAGAGUCUGAACCAGCCAAGUAGCGUGAAGGAUGACUGCCCUAUGGGUUGUAAACUUCUUUUAUAAAGGAAUAAAACGAGGCACGUGUGCCUUUUUGCAUGUACUUUAUGAAUAAGGAUCGGCUAACGCCGUGCCAGCAGCCGCGGUAAUACGGAGGAUCCGAGCGUUAUCCGGAUUUAUUGGGUUUAAAGGGAGCGUAGAUGGGUUGUUAAGUCAGUUGUGAAAGUUUGCGGCUCAACCGUAAAAUUGCAAUUGAUACUGGCUGUCUUGAGUACAGUUGAGGUAGGCGGAAUUCGUGGUGUAGCGGUGAAAUGCUUAGAUAUCACGAAGAACCCCGAUUGCGAAGGCAGCUUACUAAACUGUGACUGACAUUGAUGCGCGAAAGUGUGGGUAUCAAACAGGAUUAGAUACCCCGGUAGUA
rnacentral:rRNA from 1 species